rnacentral:ncRNA from 1 species
CUCUAAAGCUGACCUCAGGAUAGCUGGCAGUCCUGCACGGCCAAACCCGUGCAGCUUUAUGAGGUAAAGAGAAUGAUUAGAGGUCUUGGGGCUGAAACAAUCUCAACCUAUUCUCAAACUUUAAAUUGGUAAGAAGCCCAGCUCUCUGACCUGCAGCUGGGCAUGGAAUGAGAGUGCCUAGUGGGCCACUUUUGGUAAGAAGAACUGGUGCUGUGGGAUGAACCAAACACCAGGUUAAUGUGCCCAAUGCCAACAUUCAUCAGAACCCCCACACUGGAUCUCUGACAAAUGGAGUAAGAG